GCCUUUAGGCGAGCCGACCCAAUGGACAUGGUCGGUGCUAAGUCGGUAGGCGAUGAGGGCGAUAGGAAAAUCCGUUGCCUGAGCUGAGAGACGAUGGUGAAACGCGUAAGCGUGAAGUCGUUGACCCAAGCCUCCAAGAAAAGUCUCGUAGUGAUGAAGCACAGCAUCCGUACCGCAAACCGACACUGGUAGAUACGUUGAGAAUACGAAGGUGAACGGGAGAACCCUCCUUAAGGAACUAGGCAAAAUAGUCUCGUAACUUCGGGAGAAGAGACACCCCUGAGCGUGAAGGAUGAACAUUUGGAGCGCAUGGGGGUCGCAGAGAAAUGGCUCUAGUGACUGUUUAACAAAAACACAGGUCUCUGCUAAGCCGUAAGGCGAAGUAUAGGGGCUGACGCCUGCCCAGUGCCGGAAGGUUGAGGGGAGAGGUUAGCGCAAGCGAAGCUUUGAACUGAAGCCCCGGUGAACGGCGGCCGUAACGAUAACGGUCCUAAGGUAGCGAAAUUCCUUGUCGGGUAAGUUCCGACCCGCACUAAUGGCGUAACAACUGGAGCACUGUCUCAAGGAGGGACCCGGCGAAAUUGAAAUACCUGUGAAGAUGCAGGUUACCCGCAGCAGGACAAAAAGACCCCGUGGAGCUUUACUAUACUUUGGCAUUGCGUUUGGAUAUAGUUUGUCCAGGAUAGGUGGGAGGCUUUGAAGCCGGAACGCUAGUUUCGGUGGAGCCGCCGUUGGGAUACCACCCUGACUAUGUUUAGACCCUAACCCCAAGCCCGAAACGGGCUGGGAGACAGUGCCAGACGGGUAGUUUGACUGGGGCGGUCGCCUCCUAAAAGGUAACGGAGGCGCCCAAAGGUUCCCUCAGGCUGAAUGGAAACCAGCCAAAGAGUGUAAAGGCAUAAGGGAGCUUGACUGCAAGGCCAACAAGCCGCGCAGAGACGAAAGUCGGGCUUAGUGAUCCCACGACACUGAGUGGAAGGGUCGUGGCUCAUCGGACAAAAGCUACCCCGGGGAUAACAGGCUAGUCUUGCCCAAGAGUUCACAUCGACGGCAAGGCUCGGCACCUCGAUGUCGGCUCAUCGCAUCCUGGGGCUGGAUAAGGUCCCAAGGGUUGGGCUGUUCGCCCAUUAAAGCGGUACGUGAGCUGGGUUCAGACCGUCGUGAGACAGGUCGGUCUCUAUCCGCUGUGGGCGUAGGGGAUUUGAGUGGAGCUGCUCCUAGUACGAGAGGACCGGAGUGGACGCACCGCUGGUGUGCCAGUUGUCGUGCCAAACGGCAUAGCUGGGUAGCUAAGUGCGGCAGAGAUAACCGCUGAAAGCAUCUAAGUGGGAAACUCGCCACAAGAUUAGAUCCCCCAUGGCGAUAAGCCAGUAAGACCGCAGGAAGACUACCUGCUUGAUAGGCGGCAAGUGUAAGCGCAGUAAUGCGUGAGCUUAGCCGUACUAAUGGUCGAGGGCUUCACCCA
rnacentral:rRNA from 1 species